AUUGAACGCUGGCGGCAGGCCUAACACAUGCAAGUCGAACGAGUGGCGGACGGGUGAGUAAUGUCUGGGAAACUGCCCGAUGGAGGGGGAUAACUACUGGAAACGGUAGCUAAUACCGCAUACCAUCGGAUGUGCCCAGAUGGGAUUAGCUAGUAGGUGGGGUAACGGCUCACCUAGGCGACGAUCCAUAGCUGGUCUGAGAGGAUGACCAGCCAGCACGGAACGUAGACACGGUCCAGACGCCUACGGGAGGAAGCAGUGGGGAAUAUUGCACAAUGGGCGCAAGCCUGAUGCAGCCAUGCCUCGUGUAUGAAGAAGGCCUUCGGGUUGUAAAGUACUUUCAGCGAGGAGGCGUUACUCGCAGAAGAAGCACCGGCUAACUCCGUGCCAGCAGCCGCGGUAAUAC
rnacentral:rRNA from 1 species